UACGUAGGGGGCGAGCGUUGUCCGGAAUCAUUGGGCGUAAAGCGCGUGUAGGCGGCCCGGUAAGUCCGCUGUGAAAGUCCAGGGCUCAACCCUGGGAUGCCGGUGGAUACUGUCGGGCUCGAGUCCGGAAGAGGCGAGUGGAAUUCCUGGUGUAGCGGUGAAAUGCGCAGAUAUCAGGAAGAACACCCGUGGCGAAGGCGGCUCUCUGGGACGGUACUGACGCUGAGACGCAAAAGCGUGGGGAGCGAACAGG
rnacentral:rRNA from 1 species